rnacentral:lncRNA from 1 species
AAAUUUGUGUAAAGCCUGAAAAAAAAUAUUGUAGAAUCCUUCUCUCCUCCAGAGAUAUUCUUUUGGAGUUUUCUGUACAACCAAAAUGGGCAUAUGCAAUUCAUAUCUUUAAAAGAAUUUGAAGUUCCAAAUCAAUUAUUCUUCUACCUCUGUCUUUAUUUGGAAAGCUAAUUUAACAGAUCAUUGCUAUAUAAGACAAUAUUUUACUGGGGAAAAAAGGUCAUCUUGCUGUUACAGGUAAGCACACACAAAUAAUUUUGCACUACAAAGUUUAUCUGCUUCUUGGCUAUUUGCUUGUCUCACCAGGGUGAGACAAAGGAUGUUUUUAUAGUUACCAUGUACUCAAGAAGAAUCCUGGAAGGGGAAAGAAUCACCAUCCUGCAUCGCUGGCUGCCAUGGUGAUGGGGUUCCAGGGGAGCAUCACAGAGGGGGAGCACCCCACCCACCUCAGUGCCCUGCUGGCAGAGCUGUCCCUUUCCUCCUCCCCAGUACAGUCUUGUGGACAUCCUGGCUUUUCUGGGAUGCUGGCAGAUGGGCUAACUACUUUCUAAAGAAGCAUCAGUUGCUUUUAUCUCUGCCAGUGAAGUGGCAUGCAGAGGUCAGGUUCCUUCCGUGUGGCUGGAGAGAAGAGCUGUGUUCAGCUUUGCAGAGAACAGGUUACCUGUGAGCAGGACAACCCCAAAUACGGGAAAAAAAUUACAUCUGGCAACAUCUGGGAACCAGAAGAAGCCUAAAGCAGAAAGCAGAGAGGGAGGAUGUGUCAGAGAUUGACACCAUUAAGUUUUUUUAAAGCUAAUCUAUCUCUACCUUCACAGUGGUAGGUGGAAGUGGAAAGAAAACUCAUUGUGUGUUUAAAAAACAGGUCAUCUUCAAGAAAUGUCACAGAAACCUUGAGCAGACAUGAGCAAACAGCCCUGGGGGAGUAAUUUGUCUUUGCUGUCAAGAGGAAAAUUAAGACUCCAGGGGAC